AGCUCCAAUAGCGUAUAUUAAAGUUGCUGCAGUUAAAGCGCCCGUAGUCGGAUAUCGUCCUCUUGAAUAGGAUGCAGAUGCCCUUUGGGCGUUCUAGCGCCUACUCUUCUGGACUAGAGUGAAGUAAGUCUCUUGCCUCACUCUGUUACCUUGAGCAAAUUGGAGUGCUCCAACCAGGCUUUAGCUUGAACAGCUCAGCAUGGAAUAACGAGAUAGGACUUCGGUUCUUCUUGUUGGUGUCAUGAAUCGAUAGUAAUGGUUGAUAAGGACAUAGGGGGGCAUUUGUACUUGCUGGAGAGAGGUGAAAUUCUAAGACCCUGCAAAGACAAACAAGUGCGAAAGCAUUUGCCCAGUGUGUGCCUG
rnacentral:rRNA from 1 species